rnacentral:rRNA from 1 species
AGUAACGGCGAGUGAAGCGGCAACAGCUCAAAUUUGAAAUCUGGCUCUCGGGCCCGAGUUGUAAUUUGUAGAGGAUACUUUUGAUGCGGUGCCUUCCGAGUUCCCUGGAACGGGACGCCAUAGAGGGUGAGAGCCCCGUCUGGUUGGAUGCCAAAUCUCUGUAAAGUUCCUUCAACGAG